rnacentral:misc_RNA from 1 species
AACCAUUCUCACCUGCGGCUAGACCUGCGGAAGGAUCAUUACACAAUAAACAUAUGAAGGCUGCACCGCCAACAGGCGGCAAGGCUGGAGUAUUUUAUUACCCUUGUCUUUUGCGCACUUGUUGUUUCCUGGGCGGGUUCGCCCGCCUCCAGGACCACAUGAUAAACCUUUUUUAUGCAGUUGCAAUCAGCGUCAGUACAACAAAUGUAAAUCAUUUACAACUUUUAACAACGGAUCUCA